CGGCACUGAGAGUGGCUGGGGAUGGUUCCCUGACCGGGGAUCGAACCCGGGUCGCAGCGAUCCUGAUGACGAGACUGAAUCCUCAAUUCUGAUUGGUCCAAACUCUGAGUUGUGAUUGGUCAGAGCGCUGGUAUAUAAACCCCCUCCUGACUGCUAGAGCAGAAGUUUCCCGGUGAAGACACAAUCAGGAGGAUCUGUCACCUUCUCUUCUUCUCUUCUUCUUCUCUGGAGUUCCACACGGAGUUAUAGAUAAUAAUAAGAGGUUAUAGAGUGUUUGGUGUGUGGUAUAGGUAAAUGAUGGCGCGCUGCAGUUCAGUAAUGAAAGCUCUGAUCUUCCUCACAUUUUCUCUUCAUCUUUCAUCAGCAGG